rnacentral:rRNA from 1 species
UAGAGUUUGAUCCUGGCUCAGGAUGAACGCUAGCGGGAGGCCUAACACAUGCAAGCCGAGCGGUAUGGAUCUUUCGGGAUCCAGAGAGCGGCGUACGGGUGCGGAACACGUGUGCAACCUGCCUUUAUCAGGGGGAUAGCCUUUCGAAAGGAAGAUUAAUACCCCAUAAUAUUUAGAAUGGCAUCAUUUUAAAUUGAAAACUCCGGUGGAUAGAGAUGGGCACGCGCAAGAUUAGAUAGUUGGUGAGGUAACGGCUCACCAAGUCUGCGAUCUUUAGGGGGCCUGAGAGGGUGAUCCCCCACACUGGUACUGAGACACGGACCAGACUCCUACGGGAGGCAGCAGUGAGGAAUAUUGGACAAUGGGUGCGAGCCUGAUCCAGCCAUCCCGCGUGAAGGACGACGGCCCUAUGGGUUGUAAACUUCUUUUGUAUAGGGAUAAACCUACCCUCGUGAGGGUAGCUGAAGGUACUAUACGAAUAAGCACCGGCUAACUCCGUGCCAGCAGCCGCGGUAAUACGGAGGGUGCAAGCGUUAUCCGGAUUUAUUGGGUUUAAAGGGUCCGUAGGCUGAUGUGUAAGUCAGUGGUGAAAUCUCACAGCUUAACUGUGAAACUGCCAUUGAUACUGCAUGUCUUGAGUGUUGUUGAAGUAGCUGGAAUAAGUAGUGUAGCGGUGAAAUGCAUAGAUAUUACUUAGAACACCCAUUGCGAAGGCAGGUUACUAAGCAACAACUGACGCUGAUGGACGAAAGCGUGGGGAGCGAACAGGAUUAGAUACCCUGGUAGUCCACGCCGUAAACGAUGCUAACUCGUUUUUGGGUUUUCGGAUUCAGAGACUAAGCGAAAGUGAUAAGUUAGCCACCUGGGGAGUACGAACGCAAGUUUGAAACUCAAAGGAAUUGACGGGGGCCCGCACAAGCGGUGGAUUAUGGUGGUUUAAUUCGAUGAUACGCGAGGAACCUUACCAAGCUUAAAUGGGAAAUGACAGGUUUAAGAAAUAGACUUUUUCUUCGGACAUUUUCAGGUGCUGCAUGGUUGUCGUCAGCCUCGGUGCCGUGGAGGGGGUUAAGGUAAGUCUUGCACGAGCGCCACUCCUGUCCACUUAGUUGCAUUCAUAGUGGGGACCUCUAAGUGGAAACUGCCUAGCCAGUAAAGAGAGGAAGGGGUGGGAAUAUACCUCUCAU